rnacentral:rRNA from 1 species
AUUGAACGCUGGCGGCAGGCUUAACACAUGCAAGUCGAGCGAGCGGCGGACGGGUGAGUAAUGUCUGGGAAACUGCCCGAUGGAGGGGGAUAACUACUGGAAACGGUAGCUAAUACCGCAUACCAUCAGAUGUGCCCAGAUGGGAUUAGCUAGUAGGUGGGGUAAAGGCUCACCUAGGCGACGAUCCCUAGCUGGUCUGAGAGGAUGACCAGCCACACUGGAACUGAGACACGGGCCAGACUCCUACGGGAGGCAGCAGUGGGGAAUAUUGCACAAUGGGCGCAAGCCUGAUGCAGCCAUGCCGCGUGUAUGAAGAAGGCCUUCGGGUUGUAAAGCACUUUCAGCGGGGAGGCGUUACUCGCAGAAGAAGCACCGGCUAACUCCGUGCCAGCAGCCGCGGUAAUAC